CUAUGCGCCUUGCCAGCCCGCUCAGUCAGAGUUUGAUCCUGGCUCAGAUUGAACGCUGGCGGCAGGCUUAACACAUGCAAGUCGAACGAUGAAACUCUAGCUUGCUAGAGAUGAUUAGUGGCGGACGGGUGAGUAACAUUUAGGAAUCUGCCUAGUAGUGGGGGAUAGCUCGGGGAAACUCGAAUUAAUACCGCAUACGACCUACGGGUGAAAGGGGGCGCAAGCUCUUGCUAUUAGAUGAGCCUAAAUCAGAUUAGCUAGUUGGUGGGGUAAAGGCCCACCAAGCGACGAUCUGUAACUGGUCUGAGAGGAUGAUCAGUCACACCGGAACUGAGACACGGUCCGG
rnacentral:rRNA from 1 species